rnacentral:rRNA from 1 species
UACGAAGGGUGCAAGCGUUACUCGGAAUUACUGGGCGUAAAGCGUGCGUAGGUGGUUUGUUAAGUCUGUUGUGAAAGCCCCGGGCUCAACCUGGGAAUGGCAAUGGAUACUGGCAGGCUAGAGUGCGGUAGAGGGUAGUGGAAUUCCCGGUGUAGCGGUGAAAUGCGUAGAGAUCGGGAGGAACACCAGUGGCGAAGGCGGCUACCUGGACCAUUGCUGACGCUGAGACACGAAAGCGUGGGUAGCAAACAGG